GGGUUGUAGGGGUGUACAGGAGCCGUUGAGGAGACUUUCCCCCUCAUCCAAUUUUGAACGAUCAGGUCUUCGUUUGUGUCAGGAUGAGGUUCUCCUUCUGUUCCUGACACAGUCAAUUUCAGCUCAUGUUAGGAUGAGAUUUUUCUCCUGUUCCUAAUCAUGGCUGUGGGGGUGCAUAAGGGCCGUUGCAAGGGCCUCUCCCCCUAUCCAAUCUCUAAAUAAUCGGAC
rnacentral:lncRNA from 1 species